rnacentral:pre_miRNA from 1 species
AUGAAGCCCAAAGCAGCUGCUGGCCACUGCACAAGAUUAGUUUAAACAUACUCUUGUGCGUGUGACAGCGGCUAUUGCGGGCCUUUCAUUCUCAACG